ACGCAAGUGGGGAGGAAAGUCCGGACAGCUUAGAGUGCCGCACUCCUCGAAAGGGAGAACCAUCAAACGUGAUGGGAUAGAUAGUGCUAUAGAGAUUUAAACCGCCGAUGGCUCGUAAGAGCACAGGUAAGGCUGAAAAGGUGGAGUAAGAGCCCACCAGUGAUGGAGUGAUCCAUCAGCUUUGGUAAACCUUGCGGGCUGCAAGACCAUGUAAACUAGUGUUUGAGAGCUACUCGCUCGAUGCUAGAGGGUAGGUCGCAUUAGAUCAAUGAUGAAGCUCGGUGUUGUUUAUUCAGCAACGGGAACAGAAUCCGGCUUACAC
rnacentral:RNase_P_RNA from 1 species